rnacentral:rRNA from 1 species
AACGCGAAGAACCUUACCUGGGCUCGAAGCGCAGUGGACCGGGGUAGAAAUAUCCCUUUCUCGCAAGAGACUGCUGCGGAGGUGCUGCAUGGCUGUCGUCAGCUCGUGUCGUGAGAUGUUGGGUUAAGUCCCGCAACGAGCGCAACCCUUAUCCCUAGUUGCCAGCGAGUCAAGUCGGGCACUCUAGUGAAACCGCCCCGGAUAACGGGGAGGAAGGUGGGGAUGACGUCAAGUCCGCAUGCCCUUUAUGUCCAGGGCUACACACACGCUACAAUGGCCGGUACAACGGGUUCCGACACGGCGACGUGAAGGCAAUCCCUUAAAGCCGGUCUCAGUUCGGAUUGCAGGCUGCAACUCGCCUGCAUGAAGUCGGAGUUGCUAGUAACCGCAGGUCAGCACACUGCGGUGAAUACGUUCCCGGGCCUUGUACACACCGCACGA